GACAACGCCAGCUUCACCUGGGCCGCGCCCCCUGGACCCGACCCCUCGCUGCCUCACAACGUCACCUUCCGGGCUCGCUACUCGGACGGCGCUGGGGCUGCCCGGGAGACCAGCCUCGUGCUGCCCCUGCUCGACGAGUGCGAGCUGCGGCUGUCGCCGGCGCAGGCGGAGGUGUCGUGGCUGGAGGUGCC